AGCUCCAAUAGCGUAUAUUAAAGUUGUUGAGGUUAAAAAGCUCGUAGUUGAACCUUGGGCCUAGCCGGCCGGUCCGCCUCACCGCGUGCACUGGCUCGGCUGGGUCUUUCCUUCUGGAGAACCGCAUGCCCUUCACUGGGUGUGCCGGGGAACCAGGACUUUUACUCUGAACAAAUUAGAUCGCUUAAAGAAGGCCUAUGCUCGAAUACAUUAGCAUGGAAUAAUAGAAUAGGACGUGUGGUUCUAUUU
rnacentral:rRNA from 1 species